rnacentral:rRNA from 1 species
CGUAGGGUGCAGGCGUUAAUCGGAAUUACUGGGCGUAAAGCGUGCGCAGGCGGUUUCUUAAGUCAGAUGUGAAAGCCCCGGGCUUAACCUGGGAACUGCGUUUGAAACUGGGAGACUAGAGUGUGGCAGAGGGGGGUGGAAUUCCACGUGUAGCAGUGAAAUGCGUAGAUAUGUGGAGGAACACCGAUGGCGAAGGCAGCCCCCUGGGUUAACACUGACGCUCAUGCACGAAAGCGUGGGGAGCAAACAGGAUUAGAUACCCUGGUAGUCCACGCCCUAAACGAUGUCAACUGGUUGUCGGGGGAUGAAUUCCCUUGGUAACGAAGCUAACGCGUGAAGUUGACCGCCUGGGGAGUACGGCCGCAAGGUUA